AACGAACGCUGGCGGCAUGCCUAACACACGCAAGUCGAACGAGACCUUCGGGUCUAGUGGCGCACGGGUGCGUAACGCGUGGGAAUCUGCCCUUGGGUUCGGAAUAACAGUGAGAAAUUACUGCUAAUACCGGAUGAUGACUUCGGUCCAAAGAUUUAUCGCCCAAGGAUGAGCCCGCGUAGGAUUAGGUAGUUGGUGGGGUAAUGGCCUACCAAGCCGACGAUCCUUAGCUGGUCUGAGAGGAUGAUCAGCCACACUGGGACUGAGACACGGCCCAGACUCUUACGGGAGGCAGCAGUGGGGAAUAUUGGACAAUGGGCGAAAGCCUGAUCCAGCAAUGCCGCGUGAGUGAUGAAGGCCUUAGGGUUGUAAAGCUCUUUUACCAGGGAUGAUAAUGACAGUACCUGGAGAAUAAGCUCCGGCUAACUCCGUGCCAGCCGCCGCCGUAAGAC
rnacentral:rRNA from 1 species